AGCUAAUACAUGCAAGUCGAGCGGACAGAUGGGAGCUUGCUCCCUGAUGUUAGCGGCGGACGGGUGAGUAACACGUGGGUAACCUGCCUGUAAGACUGGGAUAACUCCGGGAAACCGGGGCUAAUACCGGAUGCUUGUUUGAACCGCAUGGUUCAAACAUAAAAGGUGGCUUCGGCUACCACUUACAGAUGGACCCGCGGCGCAUUAGCUAGUUGGUGAGGUAAUGGCUCACCAAGGCAACGAUGCGUAGCCGACCUGAGAGGGUGAUCGGCCACACUGGGACUGAGACACGGCCCAGACUCCUACGGGAGGCAGCAGUAGGGAAUCUUCCGCAAUGGACGAAAGUCUGACGGAGCAACGCCGCGUGAGUGAUGAAGGUUUUCGGAUCGUAAAGCUCUGUUGUUAGGGAAGAACAAGUACCGUUCGAAUAGGGCGGU
rnacentral:rRNA from 1 species